AGGCCAUGGCCUCUAAAGCACUCCUCUGGGACCCCACCAGAGACCAGAGAACCAGAGACCCAGAGACCCAGAGAUCCAGAGGACCAGAGACCAGAGAACCAGGCAUGCAUGGUGCUGCUCUUUUCAUGAAAAGUUACCCUCCACCUCCCCACCACCAUCACCAGCUAAGGCCCAUCACUGGAACUCCUUUCUCCCAGCGCGGGGGGAUUCGAUGCCAGCUGCCCCUCAUAGGACUACCUGCCAUAACAGCAUCUGGCUCCGAGCUCGGAGAUGAGGCCAUUCCCCAAACUAUUUCAUACUGCAUUUUGCCUCUGUUGUUCAUUCAGUUAAUGAACGACAAAACCUUAAACUCGAUUGAACAUAUUUUCUCCAGAUCAUGUUUAGUCCAGUUAACCCACCUCUAUAAAGAGGAAUAUUAGGCUGUAUAUUAAUGUAUUGUCACCUCCAUCCAUUUAGUUGUGGCUUAUGUCUUUUAGGAAAAUGUAUAUUUAGCAUUUUACUGUAACAUUGGGAUAUGGACAAAUAAGACUAUUUCUCCUAGAAUGUGCGUGAAAACAAUAAAUGCAUUUUGCAAUCAAAGCUAUGGUAACUUUAAUUCAGCUUUCAAAACAUUGGCCAUGAGUAAACCCCUUGUUCAAAAUGCAGUUUCAGGUAGGUGUUUUAGGGGGCGGUGUAGACAAUAGUUAGGAAAUAUAAUCUGACAACUCCUGCAUUGUGGUUUUUAUGAGAACCAUGGCAGCCCAGUGAAUGAGUUGGGCUGUCAGUCACAGUGCACAUGACCAGGUGUGAUUUUUUUUUCUUUGCUUUUUUCUGCCUCAGGUCACUCUGUGCUCUUAAAUUACAUGCUCCUUUUGUUACAGGCAUAAAUGCAUUGUGUGCCACUUCCUCAAUGGUUCCCACUUUAGUCAGUGCAAGUUCUCUUGUUUAAGCAAAUGUAGGUCAAUUUGCUCAAAUUUGAUUGUGAAUUGUGUUUUAUGCUAUGUGCAACUCUUGUUCUGUCUGUUGCAUAAAGGACUUCAAUUUCCCUCAAUUUUGUUGAAAUAUUUUUCACUUUCGAUGUUUUUCAAAUGUAAGCCUUUCCCAACCACAGGAAUAUUCCUUAUUUUACUUUUUAGAAGCGCAUUGUAGGCUCCUUUUUUUCUGGAAAUGCGAUUCUCAUAGUAAUUUUGCAUAACGGUCUGCUAGCCGUUAUCCUCUCUACUGAAUAGUGUAAUAUGUUUAUGUUCCGUACUGUGUGCCACAUAUAUCAUUAGGUCUGAGGUUUUAUACAUUACAUCCGUUCACUUAUCCCUUCCAGUGGUUACAGCGUGAUGUAGGUUACUUUACCCACAACAGCGUGGUGCAGGCUAGAGGAUUUUACCCACCAGCCGACAUGCAUGCACAAGCAACUCAGUCAUAUCAAAAUUUAGCUAAAUUAUGAAUAUGAUGAAAAACUGAUUAUAAUAACUUUCUAGUGAGAAUUUAAAGGUUUUAAAUGUUUUUGUUGUUUUUUUUAAACCUGCCCAGCAAC
ensembl:lncRNA